ensembl:lncRNA
UUGUUCUUGCUUGUAACAAUUUGGUUCUUUAUUCAAGCUUGCAUAUUGUCUCAAGGCAUUUAUCAGCUUUUUCAAAUGUUUGAUUUCAAAUCCAAAGUUAGGAGUGUGGAGCCAAAAGAACAAGACAAAUGUUUAUUUUCCAAAUAAUUAUAGGAGGGCUCUGUAGUCAUAGUUUCGGAAUUCAAGUAGGUGUAUGUUUUCAAUCUUUUAAAGCUAAAACAAUAUAGCAUGGUUGAGAAGUCUAAAUAAAGAUACUCUUAGCAGCAAGUACAUUUAACUCAGUUUUACAAGAAUAUUCAGGUCAACAUCUGUUCACUUACAGACUGUCGUGUUGUUAGUUACAUGUGUGGCUUUGGACCUUAUUCAGCCUGUUAUCAGCUUUCAGCUGUAAACAGGAACUGCAUGUACUUGAACAUAUACAGGACUAUUAAUGGAGUAGAACAAGAUGAGACUCAAAAACCUUUUCAUUGAAACGUAGUUGCUGGGCAAGUCAAGUCAUGUUUUUGACUCGCCCCAGAAAUAUAUGAAUUCCGGUUGCUUUUAAAUGAAACAGUAUUUGGGACAGCGUGUGAAAGAGAUUAUUUCACAAAAUAAUCUAUCCACAGACCUUCAACACACACACACACACAGACAAACACACACACAUAAUGAGGCAAAGGAAAUUAGUCCAGAGUGGAUUCAUACAUAACAUAUAAAUGUCAGGUAUGCUGUUUACAAUACCUUGACAUGGAUUAAUCCUCUGAAUUGCCAUAAUACAUUCUACCGCAGAGGGAGAGAAAGACGGGAGAGAGGGAGAGAAAGGGGGAGAGAGAGGGAGAGAAAGGGGGAGAGAGUGCGAGUGAACGCUUCUUGCUCUCAAAGGGUCUAUGCAUCCCACUGCUUGUGUGUUACAGUACAGAGAGAGAAAGAGAGAUCGCAAUGACAUUUUUACAUCGGAGAUGGGAGAGAGUGGUAGUGAGACAGGAAGAGAGAGCAUGUAAGACAGGAAGGGCGAAGGAGAAAGGUAGAGAGAGAGAGCGAUUACAAAUACUGUCAGCCAUUAUUAUCCUAAGAAGAUUACAUAGCUGGAAAACGACAGGAGCUGGGUCAUCCCAGAAGGCCUUUACCAUGAUAAUCAUGUAAACCAAGCGCUCCAGCCAAAGGAGAUCAACACUAAUGCUUCCUCUGGAAGCAGCUAUGGCCAGUGACUGAAAUUCGAGUGUAAUUAUAUCGAUAAUAAUCCAUUCCUAAUUAUUUAUUACAUUUGUAAAUCACUUUUCAUUAUGCAGCAAUAAUUGGAAAGUGCAAAAAAAGGAAAGGUAUCUUUAAAACCAUUGGUUGCGUGGAGAUUCAUGGGGGCAACGUGUAUCAGACAGCUAGAGUGCCCUGGUCGUGUAGGGCUUUGAAAAACAUACGUUUUUAAGUCAAUUCUUUCCAACAAAGAUUUGUAAAGAUGAUGUUCUGUGGGCGAACAUUUUAGCUUGUUUCAGAAUCCUUGCAGCAGAAGACUGAGAAUUUACCCCUAAAGUAUUUCAAAAUAUAUGAUAUAUUUGAAAUGGAUUCUAGGUAUAUAUAAGCAAGAGUACUACUAUGCUAUUUUUGAUCAUGUGUUAAAAGUAUAUUAAAUAAGUAAGUGGGUCCAUUUUAACUUACUGAGGUAUACCUAUUUUUAUUUAAAUAGUACAGUAACCCUAUUUGAAUACUAUUUACUGUGAUGAAGUACAACGCUCCAUGGCAAUACACUUUCAGUACACACCUUUUUUGGCUUGGGAUUGUGUGUUGUAUUAUUUCCCAUGGGCACAUUUGUUUGGACGUGGACGUUGUAAUACAGUAUAAUUACUUAGAUGCUUCUGUGCUGUGUGUAUUCCCUCCCACACCAUACAGCUAUUACGUUCUCCUGCCGGCGACGUCGUUCGCGCUUCCUGACGCCGUGAGUCAGGAACGAUGUCGGUCAGUGAACUAUGUCCUCCGAAGCCCUUGUUGCGUCGGCAGUUGUCACGGUGUGCAUUUACCGUAUCUGGCCUGUGACCCUAACAGCGAGCAGGGCAGACGACGAAGCCCCGUGGCGGGGAAGAACUUCAGACGCCGGGCCGUGCCGGGUGGAGAUUAUCAAGGCACAUGGCCGUCGAGGCCCGGUUGUUCUUCAGGAUGUUCAGGAGAUUAUGUGCAGCGGGGUCGUAAGUAAUCACAGAGGUCAAACAACGGAGGAUGCACGCUGCUAGCUCCUUAUGAGUUGUCUCCAUGCUGCUGUCAACAGUGGCUGAUCCUCCGGCGCUGUCCUUACUUUCGCUGGGUGUCUCAGUCAGGGGGAGGGGAGACUGGCACAUUUACAAUUUUACAUGCAUAUAAUGCACCUUCUGAGUGUGAAACUGUAGUUAUAAGCACCUGCCUAUUAAAUAUAUAAACAUGUCCCCUGGCUUUGCACAGAUGAGCAUUCGUGAGGUCGGAAUUGCUGCAACCAUCGGAGGUGGAGGCAAAAUAAAAUCCCAGUGCUGUCGACAAACACGGUUUCAACUUUUGACAGACACAAAGAAAGAAAAAAAAGCUGUUCUCAGCAGAACAAUUAAGGACGUGUGAUUUCUCAGCCCCUCUCGGUUUACACCUGUGACUCGGGAGACUGAGCCCGUUGGCUAAUCGCGCUCAGCGGACUUCAAAACAGCAAUUUUUUUUUCUCCCGCGGGCGUCACGUUCUAUCAAGUCACCUGCGUCAUUUGGUCGGCAGCAUUUCCUCUCCUAUUGUUGUUUUGUGUCGUUGGCCCUUUUAGCUCCCGGGGAAGGUAAUGAACCCCGGUGGACUCUGGGAAAAGCUAUCAUUAGCAGGAAGUUGGUGGUGAACUGCGACGGGGUUGGCGGGAGGAUGUGCAACCACUCUAUUGUCAUCCUUUGUGAGGAAAGGACCUGACCUUCCCAGGAGGCGAGAGAGAACUCAAUAGAGAUUCCUGAAUCGCAUCAGGCAGCGCCCUCUGCUGGGCGCAUUGAGCACACAUACAGAAAUGUGGAAUUAGAGAAUCUGUUGGAGUUCUUAUCGCCCAGCAACACUGCCUGGCAGACGAGCACAGAGCCGAUUGGAUGGAAGCGUACCGGAGAAGCUUAGCCAAGUCCCCAUGUCAACCGGGGGCUUUCAUCGCUCAUAAAGAAUUCAGAAGCCACUGACACACUUUCCGCACCCUGACGGCUGCCCGCAUUUCACCGAAGGAGCGUGGUCUGCGGGAGGGGCGCCUGCGAGUGGAGUGAAGCGGUUGCAGUACCGUGUAGUCACAGCAGAGGGGGCUGUUAGCAUGCUUAUGAAUGAUGUCUUCACACCCUAAAUUACGCAUUAGGCUCCUAACCAAACUCACACUGUACAGUACAAUAAUCAGACAAGUAGUAGAGGACUAUUGGCUUUGAGGUCCUGGAUAAGAUUGGUUCCUUCUGUAGAUUGUGACACCGUUUCUGUUUAUUGCCGGUGUUUACAGACUGAGGAGCUUGCCGUGUGCAAAAAGCACAUGUCUAGAAGAAAAUAUUGCUAGGGAACGAAUUGAUGGCAACAGAGUGUCAGGCUGCGAUACUCCGCUUCUACGUCCGCCAAGCUUUCUGCCCUUAAAUGGCUAUACACAAUGCACUGCCCCCCCCCACCACACACACACGAAACACAAUUGAUGAAACAUAUACAAAAUAGUCAUAUAAGCACAUGCUCAAUG